GGCGGCACUAGCGCGGUGGUCCCACCUGACCCCAUGCCGAACUCAGAAGUGAAACGCCGUAGCGCCGAUGGUAGUGUGGGGUCUCCCCAUGCGAGAGUAGGGAACUGCC
rnacentral:rRNA from 2 species